rnacentral:rRNA from 1 species
UGUGUGUUAGUGGAAGCGUCUGGAAAGGCGCGCGAUACAGGGUGACAGCCCCGUACACAAAAAUGCACAUGCUGUGAGCUCGAUGAGUAGGGCGGGACACGUGGUAUCCUGUCUGAAUAUGGGGGGACCAUCCUCCAAGGCUAAAUACUCCUGACUGACCGAUAGUGAACCAGUACCGUGAGGGAAAGGCGAAAAGAACCCCGGCGAGGGGAGUGAAAAAGAACCUGAAACCGUGUACGUACAAGCAGUGGGAGCACGCUUAGGCGUGUGACUGCGUACCUUUUGUAUAAUGGGUCAGCGACUUAUAUUCUGUAGCAAGGUUAACCGAAUAGGGGAGCCGAAGGGAAACCGAGUCUUA